ensembl:lncRNA
GCCACAACAACAAGAAGCUACAACAACAACUGUUCCAAUCAGGAAUGCUCUCUCCACCUUUCCUGGUGUCCUGUUUAACCUCAGGAGGACAUGGGCCCUUGGACUGUGCCUCGGGACUACCAGGCCCAAAUGACCCGUAGCUGUCCCUGUCCAAAGUACUCCUGGUUGUGUUGCAGAUCAAGUUGCUGCCUGAUGAUUCCUGCAGCCACAGCCCACACCCCACCUAAUUGUCCCUGUCCUAGUCCACCUUAGUUUAAGGACUCUGGACUCAGACCAUGCAUUUAUUAUCCUUUCAUCUGAGAAUUUAAGUAAUUGAUGGGGCCUAAAAGGUAUUACUCAUGAUGUUCACCCAGCACAGCAAGAAUAGGACUGGCCACCGUUCAGUCUUCUUUCCCAACCCAACUAGAGAGUUCUUCCAAGCCACUGUGCAUCAACUCAGUUGUUGCUUGCUCUUUUGGGUUUCAGGCUAGGUAACUGCUGAUUUGAUUGAUUUAAUUUGGUCUUGUAGAGCGUCCUUGUCAUUUGUUGAAUGAUUCAAUAGGUCCACCUAUUACCUGAGUCCACCCCUUCCCACACUGCAAAAAAUAAAUUCCAUAAAAUAUGCGUGAAAGUAAUCCAAAAUAUUUUAGCGGGAAAGUAGUCCUACUACUUCAACACCAUUCUUUCCACUGCUUGGGAGGAAAUAAGAUUUAAUCUUAAAUGGGGGUGACAUCCUACACUAUAUGCCACAGUAAUUUAACUGGUAGCUAUUGGACGUCAGUGGUUCAUGGUUAGCUAUUAAGUUAGUUAGCAAAGUCAAACUAUAAGUAAUCUUAAAGGUGUAGAAAUGUAACGUUAAUGUUGUCACUAGUCACAAUGCCAAACUUUCCUAAUGAGCUAGCUAAUGAUAACAUAAAGGUGAGCUGCAUACAGUGACUUGACAUGCGGUUAAACAUUGUCUCUUGAGCCAGAUGGUUUACCACAAUCACAUGAGCCAGAUGGUUAAAUUGGGCAAAUUGUUCAGAUGGACAUGGUAUAUCGCAGAAUUGUAAGCUUAAUGAUUCGCUUGCCCACACCAUUUCUUAGCUAGCACUUUUACUCCUUUUGUUUCAUUAAAACACAUUCCUCUUUUCCAUUCAACACUUUCACAUUAAACACAUCACAUCAACAAACUACAAACAACCUUUAUUAACAUUAAAUGUCCAUCUUGUCAAUUCUUGAACUCUGACCUUGGCCUGGGCCCUACAUCCCCCACCCAUCCGGCUACUUGUCACCUCCCAAUCUGCCUGCAUGCUCCUCCUCACCUCCUUACAUUUUUAACUGCUCCUUGUCAUGUCCCUUAAUGGCUUCUCCUCCUCACCUAGCUAGCUGCUUCUCGUGAUUUUCCCAACAUACCAAGUUAGAUUUGAUGUUGCAUAAUUCCAAUUUCUACAGUGAUGUUACAUCUGUACAAAAGGACAUGAUCAAGUUAUUCUAAGUCUCAGUUAUUUUAAAUAAUAAUAAAUUCCAUCAUUUUGCUAUAUUGUGUGUUCUGCUCUCCAUCCACGAACACAGCAAUCCAGCCACUAUAGUAUAGUGAGCUAUAACUACUGACUAGCUUCACAGCUACUAUAUUAAAGUGAGCUAUGGCUACUGGUUACCUUCACAGCUACUAUAGUAUAGUGAGCUAUGGCUAUUGGCUAGCUUCACAGCUACUAUAUUAAAGUGAGCUAUGGCUACUGGUUACCUUCACAGCUACUAUAGUAUAGUGAGCUAUAACUACUGACUAGCUUCACAGCUACUAUAGUAUAGUGAGCUAUGGCUACUGGUUACCUUCACAGCUACUAUAGUAUAGUGAGCUAUGGCUAUUGGCUAGCUUCACAGCUACUAUCCUACAGUGAGCUAUGGCUAUUGGCUA